rnacentral:rRNA from 1 species
GGACCCGCACAAGUAGUGGAGCAUGUGGUUUAAUUCGAAGAUACGCGCAGAACCUUACCAACACUUGACAUGUUCGUCGCGACUCUAAGAGAUUAGAGUUUUCGGUUCGGCCGGACGAAACACAGGUGCUGCAUGGCUGUCGUCAGCUCGUGUCGUGAGAUGUUGGGUUAAGUCCCGCAACGAGCGCAACCCUCACUUUUAGUUGCCAUCAUUAAGUUGGGCACUCUGAAAGAACUGCCAGUGAUAAGCUGGAGGAAGGUGGGGAUGACGUCAAGUCCUCAUGGCCCUUACGUGUUGGGCUACACACGUGCUACAAUGGUAUCUACAACAGGAAGCAAAAACGGCGACGUUAAG